rnacentral:rRNA from 1 species
UACAUGGGGUGCAAACGUUGCUCGGAAUUAUUGGGCGUAAAGCGCGCGUAGGCGGUUACUCAAGUCGGAUGUGAAAGCCCUCGGCUUAACUGAGGAAGUGCACCCGAAACUGAGUAGCUAGAGUACCAAAGAGGGUCGCGGAAUUCCCGGUGUAGAGGUGAAAUUCGUAGAUAUCGGGAGGAACACCAGUGGCGAAGGCGGCGACCUGGGCCAAUAUUGACGCUGAGGUGCGAAAGCGUGGGGAGCAAACAGG